GACGAACGCUGGCGGCGUGCCUAAUACAUGCAAGUAGAACGCACAGUUUAUACCGUAGCUUGCUACACCAUAAACUGUGAGUUGCGAACGGGUGAGUAACGCGUAGGUAACCUGCCUGGUAGCGGGGGAUAACUAUUGGAAACGAUAGCUAAUACCGCAUAAUAUUGAUUAUUGCAUGAUAAUUGAUUGAAAGAUGCUAUUGCAUCACUACCAGAUGGACCUGCGUUGUAUUAGCUAGUAGGUGAGGUAACGGCUCACCUAGGCGACGAUACAUAGCCGACCGGAGGGGGUGAUCGGCCACACUGGGACUGAGACACGGCCCAGACUCCUACGGGAGGCAGCAGUGGGGAAUCUUCGGCAAUGGACGAAAGUCUGACCGAGAAACGCCGGGUGGGUGAAGAAGGUUUUGGGAUCGUAAAGCUCUGUUUUAAGGGAAGAACGGGUGGGGGAGGGGAAAGUUCACACGGGGGCGGUAUUUUACCAAAAAGGGACGGCUAACUACGU
rnacentral:rRNA from 1 species